UACGUAGGGUGCAAGCGUUAAUCGGAAUUACUGGGCGUAAAGGGUGCGUAGGCGGUCUUUCAAGUCAGGAGUGAAAGGCUACGGCUCAACCGUAGUAAGCUCUUGAAACUGUAAGACUUGAGUGCAGGAGAGGAGAGUGGAAUUCCUAGUGUAGCGGUGAAAUGCGUAGAUAUAUGGAGGAACACCAGUGGCGAAGGCGACUCUCUGGUCUGUAACUGACGCUGAGGCUCGAAAGCGUGGGGAGCAAACAGGAUUAGAUACCCGU
rnacentral:rRNA from 1 species